AGGCCGCGUGUAUGAUGAAGGCCUUCGGGUUGUAAAGCAUCUUUUGUGGGGAAGAAAGAGACUUUGUAUAAUACUUGUCUUAUGACGUUACCCGAAAAGAAGCACCGGCUAACUCCGUGCCAGCAGCCGCGGUAAUA
rnacentral:rRNA from 1 species